GAUGAACGCUAGCUACAGGCUUAACACAUGCAAGUCGAGGGGCAUCAGGAAGAAAGCUUGCUUUCUUUGCUGGCGACCGGCGCACGGGUGAGUAACACGUAUCCAACCUGCCCUUUACUCGGGGAUAGCCUUUCGAAAGAAAGAUUAAUACCCGAUGGCAUAAUGAUUCCGCAUGGGUUCAUUAUUAAAGGAUUCCGGUAAAGGAUGGGGAUGCGUUCCAUUAGGUUGUUGGUGAGGUAACGGCUCACCAAGCCUUCGAUGGAUAGGGGUUCUGAGAGGAAGGUCCCCCACACUGGUACUGAGACACGGACCAG
rnacentral:rRNA from 1 species